GAUGAACGCUGGCGGCGUGCCUAAUACAUGCAAGUCGAGCGAACAGACGAGGAGCUUGCUCCUCUGACGUUAGCGGCGGACGGGUGAGUAAAACGUGGAUAACCUACCUAUAAGACUGGGAUAACUUCGGGAAACCGGAGCUAAUACCGGAUAAUAUAUUGAACCGCAUGGUUCAAUAGUGAAAGACGGGUUUGCUGUCACUUAUAGAUGGAUCCGCGCCGCAUUAGCUAGUUGGUAAGGUAACGGCUUACCAAGGCGACGAUGCGUAGCCGACCUGAGAGGGUGAUCGGCCACACUGGAACUGAGACACGGUCCAGACCCCUACGGGAGGCAGCAGUAGGGAAUCUUCCGCAAUGGGCGAAAGCCUGACGGAGCAACGCCGCGUGAGUGAUGAAGGUCUUCGGAUCGUAAAACUCUGUUAUUAGGGAAGAACAAAUGUGUAAGUAACUAUGCACGUCUUGACGGUACCUAAUCAGAAAGCCACGGCUAACUACGU
rnacentral:rRNA from 1 species